rnacentral:rRNA from 1 species
CACGUAGGGCGCAAGCGUUGUCCGGAAUUAUUGGGCGUAAAGAGCUCGUAGGCGGUCUGUUGCGUCCGCUGUGAAAACUCGGGGCUUAACCCCGAGCCUGCAGUGGAUACGGGCAGACUAGAGGUAGGUAGGGGAGAAUGGAAUUCCCGGUGUAGCGGUGAAAUGCGUAGAUAUCUGGAGGAAUACCGGUGGCGAAGGCGGCAUCCUGGACCAUUACUGACACUGAACCGCGAAAGCUAGGGGAGCAAACGGG